GAUGAACGCUGGCGGCGUGCCUAAUACAUGCAAGUCGAGCGGACAGACGAGGCUCUUGCUCGUCUCACGUUAGCGGCGGGCGGGUGAGUCACACGAGUAUACCCUACCUAUAAGUCUGGUAUCACUACGGGAAAGCGGAUCUUACCGCGGAGGAGAUCUUGAACCGCAUGGGUCAUUGGAGAAAUCCGGCUUUGCUGGCUCUUAUAGCUGCUUCCGCGCUGGUUGAGCUAGUUGGUACGUAAACGGCUUACCAAGGCUAGGAUGCGUAACCGAGCGGAGAGGGGGAUCGGCGACACUGGAAGUGAGACACGGUCCAGACGCCUACGGGAGGCAGCAGUAGGGAAUCUUCGGCAAUGGGCGAAAGCCUGACGCAGCAACGCGGAGUGUGUGAUGAAGGUCUUCGGAGCGUAAAGCUCGGUUAUUAGGGAUGAACAGAUGUGGAAGGAGACAUGGACGUAUUGACGGUACCGAAUCAAAAAGCACCGGCUAACUACGUG
rnacentral:rRNA from 1 species